rnacentral:tRNA from 2 species
AGGCGCGUAGCUCAGUUGGUUAGAGCACUACCUUGACAUGGUAGGGGUCGUUGGUUCGAAUCCAAUCGCGCCUACCA